UACGGAGGGUGCAAGCGUUGCUCGGAAUUACUGGGCGUAAAGCGUACGCAGGCUGCUUGCUAAGUCGGGUGUGAAAGCCCGGGGCUCAACCCCGGAAUUGCGCCCGAAACUGGUGAGCUUGAGUGCGGGAGAGGGAAGCGGAAUUCCUGGUGUAGAGGUGAAAUUCGUAGAUAUCAGGAGGAACACCGGUGGCGAAAGCGGCUUCCUGGCCCGACACUGACGCUCAUGUACGAAAGCGUGGGGAGCAAACAGG
rnacentral:rRNA from 1 species